AGCGAACGUUAGCGGCGGGCCUAACACAUGCAAGUCGAACGCGAAAGGGAUUCGUCCCCGGUAGCGUGGCGUCCGGGUGAGUAACACGUAGGAAACCUUCCCUAGAGAGUGGGAUAACGUUCCGAAAGGGACGCUAAUACCGCAUAAGCCCACGACCGCUUCGGCGGAUGAGGGAAAAGAUGGCCUCUGUAUACAAGCUAUCACUUUGGGAUGGUCCUGCGGCGCAUCAGCUAGUUGGUAGGGCAAUGGCCUACCAAGGCGAAGACGCGUAGCUGGUCUGAGAGGAUGAUCAGCCACACUGGCACUGAAACACGGGCCAGACUCCUACGGGAGGCAGCAGUGGGGAAUAUUGGACAAUGGGCGCAAGCCUGAUCCAGCCACGCCGCGUGAGUGAUGAAGGCCUUCGGGUUGUAAAGCUCUGUGGGGAGAGGCGAAAACAGUCAUCAAGAAACGGAUGAUUCUUGACGGUAUCUCCUUAGCAAGCACCGGCUAACUCUGUGCCAGCCGCCGCAGUAACAC
rnacentral:rRNA from 1 species